UACGUAGGGUGCGAGCGUUGUCCGGAAUUAUUGGGCGUAAAGAGCUCGUAGGCGGUUUGUCGCGUCGACUGUGAAAACUGGGGGCUUAACUCUCAGCUUGCAGUUGAUACGGGCAGACUUGAGUUCGGUAGGGGGAGACUGGAAUUCCUGGUGUAGCGGUGAAAUGCGCAGAUAUCAGGAGGAACACCGGUGGCGAAGGCGGGUCUCUGGGCCGAUACUGACGCUGAGGAGCGAAAGCGUGGGGAGCGAACAGG
rnacentral:rRNA from 1 species